GUUCCAGUCUUUUCGGGGCAUCCGAGAAAAUUGGAACGAUACAGGGUAGAUUAACAUGGUCUCUGCUGUAGGAUGGCAUGAACAAGUUUGAAAAUUGAAAAGAAAAU